ensembl:snRNA
GUGUCAUAUGAAAGGAGAGAAGGUUAGCACGCCCCUUGACCAGGAUGGAAGAGGCCUCAGGCCUGACGACAGCAUAUGGUAAAGGCAGUGUCACCUAUUUUGUGGCAUCUAACCGUUGGUUUUA